CCUACGGGAGGCAGCAGUGGGGAAUAUUGCACAAUGGGGGAAACCCUGAUGCAGCGACGCCGCGUGAGUGAAGAAGUAAUUCGUUAUGUAAAGCUCUAUCAGCAGGGAAGAAAAUGACGGUACCUGAGUAAGAAGCCCCGGCUAACUACGUGCCAGCAGCCGCGGUAAUACGGGGGAUGCAAGCGUUAUCCGGAUUUAUUGGGUUUAAAGGGUGCGUAGGCGGGAAAGCAAGUCAGAUGUGAAAACUCAGGGCUCAACCCUGAGCCUGCAUUUGAAACUGUUUUUCUUGAGUGCUGGAGAGGCAAUCGGAAUGCCGGGUGUAGCGGUGAAAUGCGUAGAUAUACGGAGGAACACCAGUGGCGAAGGCGGAUUGCUGGACAGUAACUGACGCUGAGGCGCGAAAGCGUGGGGAGCAAACAGGAUUAGAUACCCUUGUAGUC
rnacentral:rRNA from 1 species